CACGUAGGGGGCGAGCGUUGUCCGGAUUUAUUGGGCGUAAAGAGCUCGUAGGCGGCUCAGUAAGUCAGGUGUGAAAACUCCAGGCUCAACCUGGAGACGCCACCUGAUACUGCUGUGGCUAGAGUCCGGUAGGGGGGCAUGGAAUUCCUGGUGUAGCGGUGAAAUGCGCAGAUAUCAGGAGGAACACCAGUGGCGAAGGCGGUGCUCUGGGCCGGAACUGACGCUGAGGAGCGAAAGCGUGGGGAGCAAACAGG
rnacentral:rRNA from 1 species